GCCGAGCUAAGUAAUAAGAGCUUGUAACCCAAGUGGGGGCAUGAAGGUGAUGGAACAACUUUGUGGCUCCCUAGUUGGAGAUGUGGUUGCUAAAAGCUGGCUUGUCCAUUCCAAGUUAAGAGUUGGGUAAUGGGACUUAUGUGAAGGCAUAGGUGUCAUCUCCCUUAGACAAGAAGGAACUGCGUGAGGCUGGUUUCACAGAGCAACGAUUACCUCUACCUCCUAAUAGUGGAGGGAUAACAAGCUAUCGUAUCCUCCCUCCAUAGAAUAACUCGGAUUGCCACCCUUUCUUGGACCAUCUCUUUU
rfam:Vigna angularis cultivar Jingnong 6 scaffold87_5, whole genome shotgun sequence.